AUCAUGGCAACAAGUCAUUUCUAAAGAGCACUAAGGCUUAAGAAGCACUUCUCUGUGAGGUAUUGAGUGUCAAUUCAUUAUCCCCACUUUGCAGAUGACAAUACUGAUCCUCUGAGCUAGAGAUUGACUGACUUUCUUAAGGUCAGGCUACAGUGAGUAAAUCUGCAGUAGGCAACACAAAUGAGAUGGGUUGGAGACAGAAUAGAGAAGGAGGAGGAGGAAGAGGAGGAGAGCUGUCUGGCUUGUGUUUGGGAAGAAGCAGCGUCCUAUCAAUGACCCCAAACUCUCUAACUUCCAGGCUCAUCUCUUUUCUACUAAUCUUCUUCUGGUGAUAUUUCACUUUGACUCAUGGGAAACCAGUCUCUGAAGAAAUGAAGUUGAGAAUCACUUAAAGACCAAAGGGAAAAAGGCUGUGAUGAAUUGUAAAGAAGUAAUUAACCAGGAGAACCUUCAUGUCUGGAAUGUUCUCCCUCCUCAUCUCAGCCUCCUAGCAUCCUUCAGGUCCCAGCUCUACCUACUGUCCCACCUCAGCUCAUCUGAAGCUCAAACCCUGGAAAGAGUGGAAAACAUGGAGCUUCUUCAGCUGGUCCAGAGGCCCAGAGGGGACUUUUUCACCCCAGGUCACUGUCUCAGUGGUUAAAUAAAUUUAUUUAGGUUCUCUGCACACAGCUCCAACUCUCAUUAAUGGGCAUGAAGAACAAAUUCUGGGCUGGUGUGUGUUGGGGAGAACUUGAGAAGACGCUGCCAAAAGAAGAAGAGGAGAAGGGGGUGAAUGUCAAUGGUGCCACAAAAACCUUAGAGACCAAAGGAAAUUUUAGACGUCCUGGUCAGCUCUUGUCAAUGGGAUCUUCUCAAUGUCUUACUCCGAUAGUGCAAAGGAAUGAAGUAAUUAAAUGGUAAACUCCUCCCUGUAAGGACCACAAGUGUCCUUUGAAACCACAGCAUGUGGACUGAGAAGGGCUGAGUCCUUCAUCUCAGCUGAUACUAACACCACGUUAGGAAAGGAAAAAACAAAAACCUAAACAAAAAUUCUCAGUAGGACUUGGAGGUGGGUUUCUUAUUAUUGCCUCUCCAAGGCAUCUAGCAUCACCCACAUGUUGAAUCCAUUGAGUCAACAGUCAGUCAAUAAAUAUUGAUUAAGAGCCUACUAUGUGCCA
rnacentral:lncRNA from 1 species